UACGAAGGGGGCGAGCGUUGUUCGGAAUUACUGGGCGUAAAGGGCGCGUAGGCGGCCUACUAAGUCGGACGUGAAAUCCCCGGGCUCAACCCGGGAACUGCGUCCGAUACUGGAAGGCUUGAAUCCGGGAGAGGGAUGCGGAAUUCCAGGUGUAGCGGUGAAAUGCGUAGAUAUCUGGAGGAACACCGGUGGCGAAGGCGGCAUCCUGGACCGGUAUUGACGCUGAGGCGCGAAAGCCAGGGGAGCAAACGGG
rnacentral:rRNA from 1 species